GAUGAACGCUGGCGGCGUGCCUAAUACAUGCAAGUCGAGCGAACAGAUGAGGAGCUUGCUCCUCUGACGUUAGCGGCGGACGGGUGAGUAACACGUGGAUAACCUACCUAUAAGACUGGGAUAACUUCGGGAAACCGGAGCUAAUACCGGAUAAUAUAUUGAACCGCAUGGUUCAAUAGUGAAAGACGGUUUUGCUGUCACUUAUAGAUGGAUCCGCGCCGCAUUAGCUAGUUGGUAAGGUAACGGCUUACCAAGGCAACGAUGCGUAGCCGACCUGAGAGGGGGAUCGGCCACACUGGAACUGAGACACGGUCCAGACUCCUACGGGAGGCAGCAGUAGGGAAUCUUCCGCAAUGGGCGAAAGCCUGACGGAGCAACGCCGCGUGAGUGAUGAAGGUCUUCGGAUCGUAAAACUCUGUUAUUAGGGAAGAACAAAUGUGUAAGUAACUAUGCACGUCUUGACGGUACCGAAUCAGAAAGCCACGGCUAACUACGU
rnacentral:rRNA from 1 species